UUCGCAAUGCCCGAAAGGGUGACGAAGCGACGCCGCGUGGGUGAGGAAGGCCUUCGGGUUGUAAAGCCCUGUCAGGAGUUAAGAAAUGUAAGUGCGCUAAUAUCGCAUUUAUUUGACGAAGGCUCCAAAGGAAGUCACGGCUAACUCUGUGCCAGCAGCCGCGGUAAUACAGAGGUGGCAAGCGUUGUUCGGAAUAAUUGGGCGUAAAGAGCACGUAGGUGGGUUUGUAAGUCAGAUGUGAAAGCCUUCUGUUCAACGGAAGAAUUGCAUCUGAAACUGCGAGUCUUGAGUGUAGGAGGGGAGAAUGGAACUUCUGGUGGAGCGGUGAAAUGCGUAGAUAUCAGAAGGAACGCCGGCGGCGAAAGCGAUUCUCUGGCCUAUUACUGACACUCAGUGUGCGAAAGCUAGGGGAGCAAACGGGAUUAGAUACCCCGGUAGUCCUAGCCGUAAACGAUGGGCACUAAGUAGAGGGGUUUU
rnacentral:rRNA from 2 species